AUUGAACGCUGGCAGCAGGCCUAACACAUGCAAGUCGAGCGGAUGACGGGAGCUUGCUCCUUGAUUCAGCGGCGGACGGGUGAGUAAUGCCUAGGAAUCUGCCUGGUAGUGGGGGACAACGUGUCGAAAGGAACGCUAAUACCGCAUACGUCCUACGGGAGAAAGCAGGGGACCUUCGGGCCUUGCGCUAUCAGAUGACGCUAGGUCGGAUUAGCUUGUUGGUGAGGUAAUGGCUCACCAAGGCGACGAUCCGUAACUGGUCUGAGAGGAUGAUCAGUCCCACUGGAACUGAGACACGGUCCAGACUCCUACGGGAGGCAGCAGUGGGGAAUAUUGGACAAUGGGCGAAAGCCUGAUCCAGCCAUGCCGCGUGUGUGAAGAAGGUCUUCGGAUUGUAAAGCACUUUAAGUUGGGAGGAAGGGUUGUAGAUUAAUACUCUGCAAUUUUGACGUUACCGACAGAAUAAGCACCGGCUAACUCUGUGCCAGCAGCCGCCGUAACAC
rnacentral:rRNA from 1 species